GAUGAACGCUGGCGGCGUGCCUAACACAUGCAAGUCGAGCGAUUCUYUUCGGAGAAGAGCGGCGGACGGGUGAGUAACGCGUGGGUAACCUACCCUGUACACACGGAUAACAUACCGAAAGGUAUGCUAAUACGGGAUGAUAUAUAGAAAUCGCAUGAUUUUUAUAUCAAAGAUUUAUCGGUACAGGAUGGACCCGCGUMUGAUUAGCUUGUUGGCGGGGUAMCGGCCCACCAAGGCGACGAUCAGUAGCCGACCUGAGAGGGUGAUCGGCCACAUUGGAACUGAGACACGGUCCAAACUCCUACGGGAGGCAGCAGUGGGGAAUAUUGCACAAUGGGCGCAAGCCKGAUGCAGCAACGCCGCGUGAGCGAUGAAGGCCUUCGGGUMGUAAAKCUYUGUCCUCAAGGAAGAUAA
rnacentral:rRNA from 1 species